rnacentral:rRNA from 1 species
GACAUGUGGAGCUUCUAGAAGUGAGAAUGCCGGUAUGAGUAACGAAAGACAGGUGAGAAUCCUGUCCGCCGCAAGACUAAGGUUUCCUGGGGCAGGCUCGUCCGCCCAGGGUAAGUCGGGACCUAAGGCGAGGCCGAGAGGCGUAGUCGAUGGACAACAGGUUGAAAUUCCUGUACUGCACCGAAUCGUUAUGAGCGAUGGAGGGACGCAGGAGGCUAGCAGCGCGUGGUGCUGGAUACCACGUUCAAGCGUCAAGUCUGAGAGCGAGUCAAAUGCUUGCUCUCAUAAGGACAAGGCGUGAUGAGGAGCGAAAUUAAAGUAGCGAAGGCUGCGACGUCACACUGCCGAGAAAAGCUUCUAGCCAGAAACGGUGCACCCGUACCGCAAACCGACACAGGUAGUCGAGGAGAGUAUCCUCAGGUGAGCGAGAGAACUCUCGUUAAGGAACUCGGCAAAAUGGCCCCGUAACUUCGGGAGAAGGGGCGCUGGUCGCAAGAUCAGCCGCAGUGAAAAGGCCCAAGCAACUGUUUAUCAAAAACACAGGCAUCUGCAAAAUCGUAAGAUGAAGUAUAGGUGCUGACACCUGCCCGGUGCUGGAAGGUUAAGAGGAGAGCUUAGCGCAAGCGAAGGUUUGAAUUGAAGCCCCAGUAAACGGCGGCCGUAACUAUAACGGUCCUAAGGUAGCGAAAUUCCUUGUCGGGUAAGUUCCGACCUGCACGAAAGGUGUAAUGAUUUGGGCACUGUCUCAACGAGAGACUCGGUGAAAUUAUAAUACCCGUGAAGAUGCGGGUUACCCGCGACAGGACGGAAAGACCCCAUGGAGCUUUACUGCAGUUUAAUAUUGGGUAUCUGUCAAGCAUGUACAGGAUAGGUAGGAGCCGGAGAAGAUAGGACGCCAGUCUUAUCUGAGGCGCUGUUGGGAUACUACCCUUGCUUGACGGAUGCUCUAACUCAGGCCUGUGAUCCAGGCCGAGGACAGUGUUUGACGGGCAGUUUGACUGGGGCGGUCGCCUCCUAAAGCGUAACGGAGGCGCCCAAAGGUUCCCUCAGAAUGGUUGGAAAUCAUUCGCAGAGUGUAAAGGCAAAAGGGAGCUUGACUGCGAGAGAGACAACUCGAGCAGGUACGAAAGUAGGGCUUAGUGAUCUGGUGGUACCGCAUGGAAGGGCCAUCACUCAACGGAUAAAAGCUACCCUGGGGAUAACAGGCUUAUCUCCCCCAAGAGUUCACAUCGACGGGGAGGUUUGGCACCUCGAUGUCGGCUCGUCGCAUCCUGGGGCUGAAGUCGGUCCCAAGGGUUGGGCUGUUCGCCCAUUAAAGCGGCACGCGAGCUGGGUUCAGAACGUCGUGAGACAGUUCGGUCCCUAUCCGUCGUGGGCGCAGGAAAUUUGAGAGGAGCUGUCCUUAGUACGAGAGGACCGGGAUGGACGCACCGCUGGUGUACCAGUUGUCUUGCCAAAGGCAUCGCUGGGUAGCUAUGUGCGGACGGGAUAAGCGCUGAAAGCAUCUAAGUGCGAAGCCCCCCUCAAGAUGAGAUUUCCCAUUUCUUCAAGAAAGUAAGACACCUCAGAGACGAUGAGGUAGAUAGGCCGGGAGUGGAAGAGCCGUGAGGCUUGGAGCGGACCGGUACUAAUCAGUCGAGGACUUGACCAAAA